UGGGGAAUUUUGGACAAUGGGCGAAAGCCUGAUCCAGCAAUGCCGCGUGUGUGAAGAAGGCCUUCGGGUUGUAAAGCACUUUUGUCCGGAAAGAAAUCCUUGGCUCUAAUACAGUCGGGGGAUGACGGUACCGGAAGAAUAAGCACCGGCUAACUACGUGCCAGCAGCCGCGGUAAUACGUAGGGUGCAAGCGUUAAUCGGAAUUACUGGGCGUAAAGCGUGCGCAGGCGGUUUGCUAAGACCGAUGUGAAAUCCCCGGGCUCAACCUGGGAACUGCAUUGGUGACUGGCAGGCUAGAGUAUGGCAGAGGGGGGCAGAAUUCCACGUGUAGCAGUGAAAUGCGUAGAGAUGUGGAGGAAUACCGAUGGCGAAGGCAGCCCCCUGGGCCAAUACUGACGCUCAUGCACGAAAGCGUGGGGAGCAAACAGGAUUAGAUACCCUGGUAGUCCACGCCCUAAACGAUGUCAACUAGUUGUUGGGGAUUCAUUUCCUUAGUAACGUAGCUAACGCGUGAAGUUGACCGCCUGGGGAGUACGGUCGCAAGAUUAAAACUCAAAGGAA
rnacentral:rRNA from 1 species